CCUUGUAGUAGUUUGCUUGAAAAGAGUAUUCAACCAUGAUUUUUUAAUUUGUAGUAGUUUGCUUGAAAAGAGUAUUUAACCAUGAUUUUCUAUCAGGUUUCCCGAUAUGAUUGUACUCUUAUUUGUUUUAUUUUGAUUUCUUUAGCCUUUCUUUGAUUGAGGAGUUAGGUUCUUGCCCUCAUGUUCAGCUACAUAGCUUAAACUUUGAAUCGACAUCUUCACUUUCGCGGCUAAUAUUCACAUUGUAAGAAAGCUCUCACUGAGGAAAUGCAAGGCCAGAUGGAACCCGCAUAGAAUGGUGAUUUUGAUAAAAGCUACGAAGGCAACAUACGCCAGUCUUCGUUGUUCUCCUCCAUCGCUUCAAGCAUUUGUAGUUGCAUGCCCUGCUCUAUGCCCAAUCUCCUCUAGUUUAGAACAAGUUUGUU